UCUUUUAAAACUAAAGGCCCAACAUCUAAUUAGAGCCCAUUUCAAAACUAAACUAGUCCAUAUACUUCCCCUUCCACCACACGUAACAUCUCCUCACACCUAAAUUACUAUUCAUUUUCUUCCCCAAAUUUCACAAAUGCACAGCCUCUUACUCUCCCCCCUCUCUCUCGUCGCCGAUCCGCCUUCGCCAUCCUCAGCACCACCGUCCGCCGACGUCUCCUCCCUCUUCUCUCUUUCUCUCUUCUUCCCCCCUCUCUCUCUCGGCUAUGCUCAUGCCGCCGCCGCUGCUGUACGCGCGGCGGCUCACCGUCGCGGCCCUCCGCCUCUCUCUCUCGGAAUCCGCCGUCAUCACCGAUCACCGCUGCUACGCACCGCCUCAGCCCCCUCUCUCCCGAAUCUGCCGCCGCUGCCACCGUGCAUGCACAGGCGGCGGCUCCGCCGCUUCCUCCACGCCUCGCGCUGCCGGAGCAGCUCCUCGAAGCCACCACAGUCGUCGCCUCCUCGCCGGAUUCCCGAAAGGCUGUCCUUGUUUCUGCUGACCGUGGCUGCCGGAUUUCGACAGAUUUGUACACAUGAGAUAAGUUUUCCAAUUGACUAGUUAUUAAGUGUAUGCUUCGUUCCUUUCUCUUCAUGAAUUUGUUGAUUUUGGGGCAAUUGUCUUACUGUUAUGGAUGGGUUGGUGGUGGAAGAUGGUGUUAAACUUGUUGUGUGGAGUAUUUGUUAAUGUUACUUGGGUAGAUUCUACUUUCAAAUUAUAUGCAUAUGCUUGUACAUAUAUUGAAAUAAAAGACAAGAAAGGUUUCUUGUUUACCUUUUGAGUAAAGUGUUGUUCUAUUGCAGUGUUUGACUAUAUAAUUGUGUGAAAUUCUCAUUCCUCUACUCAUCUAUCCACGUUGGGUUGGAGUGUGCAGAGAAAUUAGAUGAUGACAUGGGUAUAAUCGGUUCAAGUUCGUGGCUGCCUGCACUGAAGUACCCGAUUUUCUUAGAACGUAUGAUGUAUAGAUCAAAUUUUGUUGGACUUUUGUUGGAUGUAUCGGACAUUAAAAUUUUGAUUUUGA